rnacentral:rRNA from 1 species
CGUAAACGAUGAGUACUAAGUGUUGGAGAAAUUCAGCGCUGUAGUUAACGCAAUAAGUACUCCGCCUGAGUAGUACGUACGCAGGUAUGAAACUCAAAGGAAUUGACGGGACCCCGCACAAGCGGUGGAUCAUGUUGUUUAAUUCGAAGAUACGCGAAAAACCUUACCAGGUCUUGACAUCCCUUGCAAUGCUGUAGAGAUACAGUGGAGGUUAUCAAGGAGACAGGUGGUGCAUGGUUGUCGUCAGCUCGUGUCGUGAGAUGUUGGGUUAAGUCCCGCAACGAGCGCAACCCUUAUUGCUAGUUGCCAUCAUUUAGUUGGGGACUCUAGCGAGACUGCCAGUGAUAAACUGGAGGAAGGUGGGGAUGACGUCAAAUCAUCAUGCCCCUUAUGACCUGGGCUACAAACGUGAUACAAUGGCUAUUACAGAGGGCCGCAAAGCUGUGAAGUGAAGCUAAACCCUUAAAAAUAGUCUCAGUUCGGAUUGAAGUCUGCAACUCGACUUCAUGAAGCCGGAAUCGCUAGUAAUCGCAAAUCAGAAUGUUGCGGUGAAUACGUUCUCGGGGUUU